GGGGAAUAAAAUCUGGAGUGUAAAAACAAAUAAAUACAUUUUAAAAAACUAAGACAAGCAUUUUAAUAAUAUUUAUGACAAUUACAUAAAAUUAUAUACAUUGUGUUCAUAGAGUGAAUGUCACCUCGUAUCUACAAAUAAGUACAAUUAUGAAAAAUAAAAAGUAAAAAUAUAGAAUUAAACAUCUUAAACCAUUCCUAUAAUCUGAGAACUUGAAAGGUAGGACUGAAGGAUCAGAAUUUCAAGGGAGCUUCAAUACAUAGUAAGAUUGUUGUUUCAUGAAACAAAUAGAAGAAGACAAUGGUCUAGUAAACCCCAUGACCAAAAGCAAUUGAGGAAAGAGAGGGAUUACUUUCUAUAUGAUUUUAAUCCAUCAUUCUGUAGAACAAAGACAAGAUAUUAAAGCAGGAAACUAGAGGCAGACCAUGAAGGAGCAUACUUUACUGCCUUGCUUUCCAUAGCUUUCUUAACUUUCUGCCUCCUACAACUCAGGAUGACAUCCCAGGAAUAGGACCACCCACAGUGGGAUGGAACUUCCCACCUCCAUCAUUAACCAUUUUUAAAGGUUUUUGGAUAUUUUACAUAUUUACAUUUCAAAUGUUAUCCCCUUCCCUCCCUAUCCCAUACUCCGUCCCCACUCCCCCUGCUUGUAUGAGGAUGUUCCCACUCCCACCCACCCACACCCACCUCAACACCUUGGCAUUCCCCUACACUGGGGAAAUGAGCCUUCACAGGACCAAGGGCUUCUCCUAUUGAUGCUGAACAAGGCCAUCCUCUGUUACAUUUUUGGUGGGAGCCAUGGGUCCCUCCAUGUGUACUAAUUGGUUGGUGGUUUAGUCCCUGGGACCUCUGGUGGGAUCUGGUUGGUUAAUAUUGUUCUUCUUAUGUGGUUGCCAACCCCUUCAUCUCCUUCAGUCUCAAACCCCUCCAUUGGGGUGCCCUUGGUCAGUCCAAUGGUUAGGUGCAACUAUUCUCAUCUGUAUCAGUAGGGCUCCAGCGGAGCCUCUCAGGGGACACCCAUAUCUGGCUCCUGUCAGCAAGCACUUCUUGGCAUCAGCAAUAGUGACUGGGUUUGGUAUCUGUAUGUGAGAUGGAUCUCUAUAUGGGGCAGUCUCUGUAUGACCUUUUCUUCAGUCUCUGCUCCACUCUUUACCCUGGUAUUUCCUCCCAUGAGUAUUUUGUUCUCCCUUCUAAAAAGGAAUGAAGCAUCCACAUUUUUGGUCUUUCUUCUUAUUGAGCUUCAUAUGAUCUGUGAAUUUCUCCAUAGGUAUUCCAAGCAUUUGGGCUAAUAUCCAUUUAUCAGUGAGUACAUACCAUGUGUGCUCUUUUGUGACUGGGUUACCUCACUCAGGAUGAUAUUUUCUAGUUCCAUCUAUUUGCCUAAGAAUUUCAUGUAAUCAUUGUUUUUAAUAGGUAGGUAGUACUCUAUUGUGAAAAUGUACCACAUUUUAUGUAUCCAUUCCUCUGCUGAAGGACAUCUGGGUUCUUUCUAGCUUCUGGCUAUUAUAAAUAAGGCUGCUACAAACAUAGCGGAGCAUGUGUCUUUGGAAUAUGUUGGAGCUUCCAUUGGGUGUAUGUCCAGGAGUAGUAUAGCUGGGUCCUCAGGUAGUACUAUGCCUAAUUUCCUGAGGAACCUCCAGACUGAUUUCCAGAGCGGUUGUACCACCUUGCAAUCCCACCAACAAUGAAGGAGUUGAAGGGUUAAAAUUUCUAAAAGUUAGUCAUGAACAAAGUCCAGACAUGCCUGAGAGAAUUUGAGAUAGGGCUCACUGGCCCGACUAUCAACUCCCAAGGACACUGGCCAUCUGGAGCCACCCCCUCCCCUUCCUUCACUCCCUGAGGAUGGGUCAUCCCCCUGCUACAGUGAGAUGAGUUGCCCUGCCCACAUUGCUGAGAUGCUAGAUUACACGUAUGCUUUGUUGAUGUAACUCCGUGCCAAAAGUAACUGUACACCCUUUGUAUUAGCCAAUUAUGUGUAUUCACACGAAACCCCUGGUUUUCCCUAUAUAAGCUCCUGCCUAGAGAGGCUCGGGGCUUGACUCAAUCUCCUGUGUGAGAUACGUGUCAGCCCGAGAUCUCGUAAAUAAAACUGCCUCUUGUUGAUUACAUCAAGACCGGCUUCUCGUGUUUCCUGGGGGUACCUCAACCCGUGACUGGAGCGAGAGUCUCCCCAAGUCUGGGGGUCUUUCAUUGGGGGCUCGUCCGGGAUAGGAGCGUAACUCCCGGAGAUCCGAAUGCUUCUUGGAGAUAGCGGAAGUGAGGACGCCCCAGCUCUGGGAGACGUCCCACGAGCCGACUUUUGUCGGGAGGACCCAGCAGGUGACAGUCAAAGAGAUCUGACUGUGACUUGACUUCGGAGGUCGUGUUCGGCUGCCUAUUUAAGUAUAGGCAUGGACAAGUGUGCUUAGAUGUGUUAGUGUCUGUUGUCUGUAUUCUGUUUCUGUGUUUGGUAUCCCAGAAGCAGCUAAGGUUAAGCUGCAGUUUGGGCCAGGUACUGAAGGUACCAGGCAUCUGUGGAAAUUGGUUAUAGGAUGCUUUGUCUUGGGUCUUGUUUGUCUGCUUUGUUUUCUGUGGUAUUGUCCAGUGUCUUUUUGGCUUUUGUUUCGUUUUUGGACUUGGACUGACAACUGUGUUUGAAAUCUUGGACUGACAACUGUGUUUGAAAUCUUGGACUGACGACUGUGUUUGAAAUCAUGAAACUGUUUGCUUUGUUUGUCAAAGAGUUUUACUUGGUCCUCUUGGUGCUUAACUUAAAAGUUAAAAAUAAUUUGCUUGAGAGAAAUUGUUUUCUGUCGGGGAGUUUUAUCUUUCUCACUUGAGCCUCCUCCCCAAGGAGAGCUGCCCCUCUCUUUACUCCCAUUGUCCAGCCCAGCUGCUGUUAACCGUUGUGUAUGAAGGACUCCAGGUUAGCGAGUGAUCCGUCUGAAGCAGGCAUUAACAAGAACCUGAAAGCUUUACCUUAGAUCCUGAAGAAAAAUUCUCCCUGUUGCUUAAACAUUCACAGCUUCUAAGGAAGGGACAACACAGAGUAGGAAAAUGUAGGGGCUGAGGGUGGUGAGCAUACAGGCCUGCUAGCAAGCUACAGGCUGCGAGUGGGCAACAGCGCAGCUCUGGCCAAGCCAGUGUAAGAGGAGUUUCAAGGUAAGGAGGCUGGCUGGGGUUGGCGCUUUGACAACAAAGAUAGCGUAGAGUUAGUGGUUGUAUUAUGAGACUUUUGGCCCUGAAAAAAAAAAUUCCAGUUGCUGCCUUCAGUGGCCAGACCUUCAACACUUGCUCACAAAAGGAGAGUGUUCAUUUAGAGAAGUUCUUUAAGGGAGCCUGCCUUAUCUGCUGGCCCUAUUCCAAGAGAGGAGUUGAUCUCCAACAUUAAGUAACCUUCCCUGUUAGUCGUCAUUGACAUGGAGAGUGCCUUUGAUCCUAUCCCCACAGCAGCCAGUUCCUGCCCCUGUGGUCAAAAUGCCCCAGGUUGGGGGGCAGAGAAGCCCCUAAAAUAGUUUCAAAAAAUCUACAACAAACUGUAAAGAACUUUGUUUUGUUUUGCCAGUCAAAAUUUAGAAUUCAGGCUUUGGCUGUGGCCAAGGUCAAGAUUAAUGUUUUCUUUUCCAUGGGCCUUUAGCCCACUGAGACAGUUUGGUGAAGGACUACUACUACAGUCCUGAUAUUCAGAGACAUGGAGAGAGCUAUAGUUUUUUUUUAUUAAAGGUUGGUACUAUAGUAUUAACAAUCUCCUUAUUAGAUGUAAGAGACAAGAAGCCCCAGGUAAACUGGUUACAAUUCUUUUGUCAGCCACUUAGUAUCUAACACCCAGGUUCUAACCCUCUCUCCAUCCUUUUGUUAUUAGUUCUUACUAGAAGCCUAGUGUCCUUCAGAGGCUGGGUUUAUUGAGAGACAGAGCCACUGAGCUGACACUGAAGGGAGGUACUUCUUAAAUAAAAUCUAAGUCCAGAGAGAUAGUCGAUAACAGAUCAGCUGCCUCUCUGCUUGCCUUUCUGUUUCACAGACACAAAGCUUGUGCUUAUUUCUACAACAGCCUUUUUGUCCCAAGAAGGCCUCCUGGCUUAGCUGUGUGACUAAAUGCUAUUUGCCCUCUUCAGUGGACCUCUAUUCUCAAGAUUCCUUUGUUUUCUCACCAUCCCAUUUAAGAUGCUUGUUAGUAGCUGUUACAGGUCUUCUUUACCACCGAGGAAAGACAGAAUUCUACUAGAGGCCAGAAAAAAAUGUUCCAGACAUGGAUGGAAGGCCCUCACUUCUGCCUGUUGACUUCAAAACGCCUAAAGGUAGGGAGUGCCAGGUCUGCCGCCAGGCUCCAAGGGUGGGUCUCAGAGGGGCUAAAAAAUGCCCCACCAAUUUGGCUAAAGUAAAAAAAAGAUAUAAAGAAAAAGUUACAGAAACUCAUGAAGGGUUAAGCUAAGUCACUGAGAGAGUUGUUGUAAGUUACAGAGAAAAUAAGGUUGAUAUAUGGUUCAGGGUCGGUGCACAAAAGUAGACAGCAACUAAUAGCUGUAGAAGAAGAUACAGACAGAGAGACUGAGGAAGAGAAAGAGACAAGAGGGGAACAUAUACUGGCCACAGUAGUUAGGGAACCUAGGAAGAUAGUACCUGGCAACAGAAGAGAAUUCCUGGCUAAAGAUCAGUGUGCCUAAUACGAAGAAAAAGGACACUGGGUCAGGGACUGCCCAAGAAAGAACAAGAGGGGCCACUGGAGAGUUUCUUGGUCCUAGAGUGCUGGCUAUGUACAGAGAUAGAAGGGAAGUGUGGAUACUGGGACCCAAUGCUCUGUGCUCCUAUGCCCUCCCCCCGAGUGGGUCAAUAUCCAAAGACCUUGAGUGCAAGGGGCUACUGGCAAUGAACAAUACUUAUGGACUGCCCGAAGAACAGUGGACCUUGGCGUGGGCCGGGUAACCCACCCACUAGUUCAUGGUCAUCCCUGACUGCCCCUAUCCCUUGCUCAUGAGAAAAUUGCUCUCCAAAAUGGCUUGUGUGGGCUAAAAUGGCUGGGUGAGGCCAUGUGUAUACAUAUCUACAGACUGUGUAUGUGGAGCUUAAGACCUGUCUCAGUGCACCAGUACCUGAUGCUGGGAGAUGUGUGUGUGUGGCUUAGUGCCGUUCUGCCUGGAACACAUCAUUCCUGCCAACCGGGCUCUGACAAUUAUCACCCAAUCCAGGACUUAAACUGCGGUAGAGUGGCUGAUGUUUUGCCUUUAAAUGAAAUGUCCCAGAGGAUGGGAUCACUGAUCAGCUGACAUGGACUAGAUUCUCCACCUGUUGGGGGCAAUCUGGUCACCUUGCUGCCCAACCCUGACCUAGAGCCACCACAGCACAAGUGUCAAGCACUGACAGAAGCCCAUGGGUGGAGGAAAGACCUCUGUGACUGGAUGAUUGACCCCUGCUGAAAGCCGAGGACCUUGUCCACAGACAGGAACAGUUCUCUUCAUGAAGGUCAGAGAUAAGUGGGUGCUGCCGUGGUGGACAACACAAUGUCAUCUGGGAUGGCUGAACUUCCACCCCCCAGCACAUCAGUGCUACAGAUGCCUUUACCAUCUCUUGGAUGCCCUGGUGAAGCCAACAACUGUGAAUACUAUUCAUUGCUCAGGAUAUCAGAAGGAAGAGAUUCAGUGGCAUGGGACAGUAACAAAGCAGAUAAAGUGGCUCGGAAAAUGGCUAUGCAGGAGCCUAUCCUGGUUACAGGCCUACAAGAGACGGCCUCUACAAUCAUCAAGAAGAUACUGGAAGAAAUCUUUCCCCCGAUUUGAAAUGCCCAAAGUAAUCUGGUCAGACAAUGGCCCUACUUUCGUUGCCAAGGUAAGCCAGGGUGUGGCCAAGUAUUUAGAGGUUGAUUAGAAAUUACAUUAUAUUUACAGACCUCAAAGUUCAAGACAGAUAGAAUAAAUAAAUAAAACUCUAAAAGAGACCCUGAACAAAUUGACCAUGGAGACUGGCACAGACUGGGUGACACUCCUUCCCUCUUGCUCUCUUCAGAGCAAGAAAUAUCCCUUCCAAAUUCAGCCUUACCCCCUUUGAGACCUUAUAUGGGGCCUCAGCUCCCCUGACUGUAUUAGAUGAUGUUACUGAACCAACAUGUCAUAGUGCCAUAGUAAUAAUGAUUUGUGUGCCAGGCUAAAAGACCUACAGGGGAUACAGAAAGAAAUCUGCUCACAGCUGACAACAGCCUAUGCCCCGGAGACCCCUGACAUCCCAUCAGUUCCAGGUCGGAAGCAGCUACACUGAGCCCAGACACUCGAGCCUCGCUAGAAAGGACCGUACCUGGUGCUGCUGACCACCCUGACAGCCGUCAAUUCUCAGCCCUCACCAGCCACAUACUAGCUGUUGGGGCUGAGAGUUGGGACCUAGAGGGACACUCAGAUCUUCAUAAAGCUCCCUAGACUUGCACAUCAGAUAAGUGGAUACAUCAGAGAUGUGACUGAGAUGUUGCUAUAAUGCUCACUUGAGGAGUGUGCUUUAGAAACAAGAAUUUCAUGUUUGCCCUGGGUUCCAUCGAAAAAAAUAUAGAGAUAGGCUUGAUUUCUAUUACAAAUGAUGUAACAUUACAUAUGUUAAUACUCCUAAUACUUCUUGGGACUGUGCCUCAGGGACCACAAGUUUAAAAGUUCUAAGAUAGUCAUGACCUUGGUAUAUAGGUUUAGAUAGUGUUCAGAUUGGAAUCCUAAAGACUUUUUAGCUGACCUCCAAGAAUACCUAACCUCCCUCUCAGAGGUAGUCCUUCAAAAUAGGAGAAGAUUAGACCUGAUAUUCCUUAAAGAAAGAGGGCUAUGUGCUGCUUUGAGAGAAGAAUGUUGUUUUUACCUCAAUCACUCCGGGACCAUUAAAGAUUCUAUGGCUAAACUUAGGGAGAGGUUGGACAAGAGACGACGAGAACGAGAAACCACUAAUAACUGGUUUCAAAGCUGGUUCGAUAGGUCCCCAUGGCUUACCACCCUGCUGUCAGCCUUAGCUGGUCCCUUGAUUAUCCUCCUCCUUUUGCUCACUGUUGGGCCCUACAUCAUUAACCGCCUUUUUGCUUUUAUUAGGGAACGGAUUAGUGCUAUACAAGUCCUUAUGUUGAGACAACAGUAUCGGGCUGUACGGAGUGAAGAGCCACUAGACGCUAGAUUCAUCAUGGAGUCCUAAGAUUAGGACUAUUCACAAGGAGUAGAGGGGAAUGAAGGGUUAAAAUUUCUAAAAGUUAGUCAUGAACAAAGUCCAGACAUGCCUGAGAGAAUUUGAGAUAGGGCUCACUGGCCCGACUAUCAACUCCCAAGGACACUGGCCAUCUGGAGCCACCCCCUCCCCUUCCUUCACUCCCUGAGGAUGGGUCAUCCCCCUGCUACAGUGAGAUGAGUUGCCCUGCCCACAUUGCUGAGAUGCUAGAUUACACGUAUGCUUUGUUGAUGUAACUCCGUGCCAAAAGUAACUGUACACCCUUUGUAUUAGCCAAUUAUGUGUAUUCACACGAAACCCCUGGUUUUCCCUAUAUAAGCUCCUGCCUAGAGAGGCUCGGGGCUUGACUCAAUCUCCUGUGUGAGAUACGUGUCAGCCCGAGAUCUCGUAAAUAAAACUGCCUCUUGUUGAUUACAUCAA